rnacentral:rRNA from 1 species
AAAUGAAGUUGACGGGGCCCGCACAAGCGGUGGAGUAUGUGGUUUAAUUCGAUGCAACGCGAAGAACCUUACCUGGUCUUGACAUCCCGGAGACCCUUAGGAAACUAGGGGGUGCUUCCAUCUGGAAGAAUCUGGAGACAGGUGCUGCAUGGCUGUCGUCAGCUCGUGUCGUGAGAUGUUGGGUUAAGUCCCGCAACGAGCGCAACCCUUGCCUUUAGUUGCCAGCAGUUCGGCUGGGCACUCUAAAGGGACUGCCGGUGUUAAACCGGAGGAAGGUGGGGAUGACGUCAAGUCCUCAUGGCCUUUAUGACCAGGGCUACACACGUACUACAAUGGCCGAUACAAAGGGCAGCGACACUGCGAGGUGAAGCCAAUCCCGUAAAAUCGGUCUCAGUCCGGAUUGGAGUCUGCAACUCGACUCCAUGAAGUUGGAAUCGCUAGUAAUCGUGGAUCAGCAUGCCACGGUGAAUACGUUCCCGGGCCUU